CCUACGGGUGGCAGCAGUGAGGAAUAUUGGUCAAUGGCCGGAAGGCUGAACCAGCCAUGCCGCGUGAAGGUCAGUGCCCUAUGGGCGUUAAACUUCUUUUGUGCGGGAGCAAUAAUGGUCACGUGUGGCCAGACGAGAGUACCGUACGAAUAAGCAUCGUCUAACUCCGUGCAAGCAGCCGCGGUAAUACGGGGGAUGCAUGCGUUAUCCGGAUUUGUGGGGGUUAAAGGGUGCGUAGGCUGUGAGGUAAGUCAGGGGGGAAAUGCCGCCGCUCAACGGGGUGAAGUGCCAUUGAUACGGCCUGGCUGGAAUGCGGAUGCCGUGGGAGGAAUGUGUGGUGUAGCGGUGACAUGCAUCGAUAUUAGGAGGCACACCAGUGGCGAAGGCGACUUUCUGGACAGUAACUGACGUUGAGGCACGAAAGUGUGGGGAGCAAACAGGAUUAGAUACCCUGGUAGUC
rnacentral:rRNA from 1 species